UACGUAGGGUGCAAGCGUUGUCCGGAAUUAUUGGGCGUAAAGAGCUCGUAGGCGGUCUGUCGCGUCGGCUGUGAAAACUCGGGGCUCAACCCCGAGCCUGCAGUCGAUACGGGCAGACUAGAGUCCGGUAGGGGAGACUGGAAUUCCUGGUGUAGCGGUGAAAUGCGCAGAUAUCAGGAGGAACACCGGUGGCGAAGGCGGGUCUCUGGGCAGUAACUGACGCUGAGGAGCGAAAGCGUGGGGAGCGAACAGG
rnacentral:rRNA from 1 species